CAAAGGCUUGGUCCUGACUUUACUAUCAGCCCUAACCGGACUUACACAUGCAAGUAUCCGCCCCCCUGUGAGAAUGCCCUCAAAACCUCUGCCCGAGAACGAGGAGCCGGCAUCAGGCGCGCCCCGCAGCCCAAGACGCCUUGCUAAGCCACACCCCUAAGGGAACUCAGCAGUGAUAAGUAUUAAGCCAUGAGCGAAAGCUUGACUUAGUUAAAGUUCAAAAAGGGCCGGUAAAACUCGUGCCAGCCACCGCGGUUAUACGAGAGACCCAAGUUGACAGGUGCCGGCGUAAAGGGUGGUUAAGGACAAAAAUUACUAAAGCCGAACAUCCCCUUGGCUGUUAUACGCACCCGGAGGAUUGAAGCCCCACCGCGAAAGCGGCUUUAAUUUGCCUGAACCCACGACAGCUAAGAAACAAACUGGGAUUAGAUACCCCACUAUGCUUAGCUAUAAACUUUAGUACUAAAAUACAAUUAGUGCUCGCCAGGGAACUACAAGCGCUAGCUUGAAACCCAAAGGACUUGGCGGUACUUCAGACCCACCUAGAGGAGCCUGUUCUAGAACCGAUGACCCCCGUUCAACCUCACCACCCCUUGUUAUCCCCGCCUAUAUACCGCCGUCGUCAGCUUACCCUGUAAAGGUCUUAUAGUAAGCAAAAUGGGCAAACCCCAAAACGUCAGGUCGAGGUGUAGCGCAUGAGGUGGAAAGAAAUGGGCUACAUUCCCUAACCUAGGGAACCACGGACGGCGCUAUGAAAGCUAGCGCCCGAAGGUGGAUUUAGCAGUAAGAAGGAACUAGAGCGUUCUUCUGAAGCCGGCUCUGAGGUGCGUACACACCGCCCGUCACUCUCCCCGAACCUUCUACCCCAAGUUUCUAAAAAAAGUGUCCCACCAAGGGGAGGCAAGUCGUAACAUGGUAAGUGUACUGGAAAGUGCACUUGGACUAAC
rnacentral:ncRNA from 1 species